AUAGCCCUGCGAUGUACGUGACUUCCGAUAGUUUUGAGCCACAAAGUCUUUUUAGGGAGUUUUUCGUCCGCAAUCGCGAGGACAUGCCUCCAUCGAGUGGACGUCCGGGACGGUUGGGCAAGACACCCACCUGCGAUGAGCAGGUUCAAAACUGUAGGAGCAGCACGGCAUUUUGGGGCUCCU
rfam:Brevibacillus borstelensis AK1 seq_num_003, whole genome shotgun sequence.